CGGAUUUACUCGUAAUAAUUGUCUGCAGCGGUGCAUUGUAGUUGCAUUGCAUUUGUUUGAAACGAAAUGUGCAAUGUUUCUACACUGCAACCGUAGCGGCAACUUGACCUUCAACCCCAAGGA
rnacentral:precursor_RNA from 10 species